GAUGAACGCUGGCGGCGUGCCUAAUACAUGCAAGUCGAGCGAACAGACGAGGAGCCUGCUCCUCUGACGUUAGCGGCGGACGGGUGAGUAACACGUGGAUAACCUACCUAUAAGACUGGGAUAACUUCGGGAAACCGGAGCUAAUACCGGAUAAUAUAUUGAACCGCAUGGUUCAAUAGUGAAGGACGGUUUUGCUGUCACUUAUAGAUGGAUCCGCGCCGCAUUAGCUAGUUGGUAAGGUAACGGCUUACCAAGGCAACGAUGCGUAGCCGACCUGAGAGGGUGAUCGGCCACACUGGAACUGAGACACGGUCCAGACUCCUACGGGAGGCAGCAGUAGGGAAUCUUCCGCAAUGGGCGAAAGCCUGACGGAGCAACGCCGCGUGAGUGAUGAAGGUCUUCGGAUCGUAAAACUCUGUUAUUAGGGAAGAACAAAUGUGUAAGUAACUAUGCACGUCUUGACGGUACCUAAUCAGAAAGCCACGGCUAACUACGUG
rnacentral:rRNA from 1 species